rnacentral:rRNA from 1 species
UACGUAGGGGGCAAGCGUUAUCCGGAUUUACUGGGCGUAAAGGGAGCGUAGACGGUGUUGCAAGUCUGAUGUGAAAGGCGGGGGCUCAACCCCUGGACUGCAUUGGAAACUGUGAUACUCGAGUGCCGGAGAGGUAAGCGGAAUUCCUAGUGUAGCGGUGAAAUGCGUAGAUAUUAGGAGGAACACCAGUGGCGAAGGCGGCUUACUGGACGGUAACUGACGUUGAGGCUCGAAAGCGUGGGGAGCAAACAGG